rnacentral:rRNA from 1 species
CAGUCGCCACGGUAAUACGAAGGGUGCAAGCGUUAAUCGGAAUUACUGGGCGUAAAGCGUGCGUAGGCGGUGAGUUAAGUCUGCUGUGAAAUCCCCGGGCUCAACCUGGGAAUUGCGAUGGAUACUGGGCGACUAGAGUGCGGUAGAGGAUAGUGGAAUUUCCGGUGUAGCAGUGAAAUGCGUAGAGAUCGGAAGGAACAUCUGUGGCGAAGGCGACUAUCUGGGCCAACACUGACACUGAGACACGAAAGCGUGGGGAGCAAACAGGAUUAGAUACCCCCGUAGUCCCUGUCUCUUAUAC